CGGAGGCGCGUUCCUGCCGCCGGCGUGCGGGGCGGAGCGGAACAGGAAAGGGAGCUCGGGUGUCUGCCAGUCCCGGAGAGGGGUCGGCACGGUCCCUGGGGUCCCCCAGCCGGAGCAGUAAGCCUCCGCCACAGUAAGGCCUUCUAAUUCGGGGGACCCCCUCCUUCCGGCCGGAGCUGUGCCAUUGUGGGGCCACGCAAAGCCCAUGGGAACGGGGGAGGGGCAGAACAGGGUGCUAGUUCACAGCGUUUGAACUGAUGCCUUGCUCCCAAAUUACCGGGGGUACAGCCUACCACAGUGUCUCUCGAGUGGCACCGUUACGCUUCCAGUCCUUUGGGUCUUGGAGGCGUUGAAGGUUCCCAGAGUCUCCUAGGAAAUUGCCAGCACCUCUGGGAGAGGGAACCUCCUAAACUGUUAGCGGCCCACGCCCGCGGUGGGGGUUCGUUGGCCGCCAGUGUGUGGAGCUGGGCCUGGAGAGCGGGACCCGGGAGGCGUCCAGGCUGUCUCCUGAGAACCCUAAGAUCCCAGAAGCAUGAGCUGGAAGGGACUGUGAAGAGAGUCUCAUUCUACACCUUCUCCCACUUGACAGAUGGAGAACAGAGGCCAAAGAGGGGGAUUGACUUGUACAAAGAGCUCUGCGGAGCGAUGACACCCUGGAGAGAGCUGCCUGCCACCCACACCGCUUUUGACAUCAGUACUUUGUCUUUAAAGAAACUCCUUUCCCCCUCACUCAGGCCUUGGAUUUGGUGAGACUCACCCUAAUCCUCUCCAGAGUGGGGCAAAUGAUCAGGCCUGGACAAUGAACAUAUUCCAUUGUUCUAGACACAAUGAUUGGCUCAUAAGCCAAUCCAAAUAGUUGAGACUGAUAUCCAGGUCAUUUGUUGCAGUUUACAAGAAAGAGAUUGUUCCCCUUUUACUGAGUUUGUUGAGCUGGGGCUUCAGCUUCAACCACAGGGGGGCAUCUUUGACACCCCAAGCAGAGAGAUUGUCUAAGAAUAAAGUGAACACAAAGAGAAGCUAAGAAAUGGAGAGAGACAGUCCUGGUGACAUAAUUUGAGCACCUGGAUCCAUCCAUGCCUGAAGACCUGCUUCUGGAUUGUUCUGUUAGGUAAACCAAUGAAUUCAGUUUUUGCUGAAGCCAGUUUGAGUUGGGUUUUUGUCACUUCCAGUCAAAAUAGUCCCAAAUAAUUUACCUACAUCUCCCCCAACCCGGGCUGGUGUACUGGAUUAUUUAUAUUGUAGAAAAAUGCCUGAAAGGGUGAGCUACUCCUGACAUAUUGGAACCCAAAGACAAGAAUUUGAGGUGCAUCUCUGCCACUGUGUGACCUAGGACGGUGAUGCUACUCCUCACAGCCUCAUUUUCUUCAUUUAUAAAAUAGAGAAAAACAUCCUUCCUUCCUACAGAUGUUAUGAGGAUCAAGAGAGAGAAUGCAUGGCAAAGAGCUUUGUAAACUGAAAAUGGCUUUAUAAAUGUAAGUGAUUGUCAUUAAAUUUUAAUAAGUGGCUUGCCCAAGGAGUAGAAAUUACAGUGUUAUUGAAGGCACUCGCAGAGCUAUAAGUAGCUGGGACAGAAUGUUUCCUCAUUUUCAAGACUAACCUUGGAGCAGUUACAGAAAGGAAGUCUGAGAACUCUCCACAGGAAGAACAGAACAGAACAGUUGUGAGCUCAAGUUGGGGACUAUAGACCAUAAGGCAAAGAUGAUCCUGGACUGAGCACCUGGAUGAGAGAAGCCCCCAGGGCACUUCCAGCCAAUAUCCUAGCAGAGAAGGAUUUGUGACUUGUCAGAUACCCUUACGCCUAAAGUAAGUGUUCAGUUACAUUGAACGGUUAUUAAGCUCUUACAGCAUUCUAGGUCCCCUGAUCUUUGCUUUAGAUAUAUUGUCUCAUUUAAUCUUCACAAUAACCCUAAGAGGUAGUGUUAUGGGCUGA